CCAAGAGUGUAUACUAAUGUUGCUGCAGUUAAAGCGUCCGUAGUAGAUGUGUGAAAUCUCGUUCGCCUGUACUCAGUCUCGUACUAGUAUUACGGCUUGAGAUCAAAUAUGUAAUUGGGUCAUUUGUCCCUUUACUAUUACUUUGAAAAAAUUGGAGAGUUCUAAUCAUUCGUUUGUAUGGCAGGCCAGCAUGGAAUAUGAAAUACAGUCAACUUCCUCAGCAAUGGAGUCGUUGUUCGGAAUUAAACCAAGGACAUUCGGGGGCAUUGGUAUUUAUUGGAGAGAGGUGAAAUUCUGAGACCCUGUAAAGACCCACAAGUGCUAAAGCAUUUGCCUAGGAUGUACUUUUUUA
rnacentral:rRNA from 1 species